UUACGGUGUCCAUUACCAGCGCAUAGUCACGACUUCCCCCAAACACGAUGACAUCAGAGUCCUGCCCUAGGCAAGCGGAGUGCCACAACCUGUAAGGAGUCGCCAGAAACUGGUAAUUGACUGAUUGGAAUGUUCCCAGACUUCCCUCAUAAGUUUCCCCUACAGUGUAAGACACUGGCAAGCAAAGGGGUGGAUCUGAACCCAACAGACACUGCAUACCUUGGAUUGUUUUUGUGUGGGUGCUGCAUCUCUCUCCACUCCUUUGUCUGGACGUCAAAAAUCCAGCCAUCGCCUAAAGAGAGGACAAAAUAAGGGAUUUCUCCUGGAUGACCGGGGAAAUUCACAGGAGCUUGAAAGCAGUCGAACAAGACUGGGGUUUCUGAGGAAGGGAUCACACGUCCACUGCGCUCUCUACUCUAAGUCCUUGCAAAUGCUUGCACGUUUACAUCCUUCCUCUUCUCGUCCAUUCCUUCUAUUCAGACAUUCCUUUAGGUCAACAGGGGAAUUUACAUCUGAAAAGUAACAUGCAUGGGAAGAGGGUGCUGUCCGAUAACGGCGUCAGGGUGUGCCACGAGCGCUCCACGGGCUCCACCGACACGGGCACGCUGGAGACAGCGCGGGGAGAAACGGGUGCAGAUCACUAUUGUCAUCACUCCAUUGGCCUUCCUCCGCUUUCUCGCCCUCUUCCUCAACAGCUGAUGAAACAUCAUCUGACUUCCACAGCAAAUCCAGACAGUGAAUGUCCAUCGACGAGGCCUCCUGUCAAGAGAAAACACACACUGGCUUCACACAUGAGCGGGAUGCACAAGAUAUAGGGAAAUUAACUUGAGACUAGGUGUCCAUGGAUACAUUUAAGAACAUGCUGAGGACUGUACUUGGCAUCUUCGCAUGGCACAGUAUUAAAGUAAAAUAAUAAUGUUAAAUAUAAGGAAUACAGUUUGAUGUACAUUCAGUAAAAAUGUUUCUGUGUUAGAAAACAAAUUGUUCGCUGCCUCAGCAAUGUUUUUUAUGCAUAGAUACAGUAUUUAAAACACAUACUAAUGAUAUUUAAUAUGGGUUAUUGCAACAUACACUGGUACUCUCUACAAAAUUCAACCACUACACAAUGAGAAUAUUUCAGAGUGCACUUGAAAAUAAUUUUAUUAUUAUUUUUAGUCAUCUUUUAUUUAUACGGGUUGUUCACCUGUUGAACAGGCAGCAGUCACCCGCUCAUUGCCAUUAUAAACACAAGUUUAAAAAAAAAAAAGUAAACCGCAAACUGGGCUUAAAUAUAUUCACUCAUCUGUUACAAUAUUGUAGAUCCUGGCUUUGGAUUUGAGAGGGUUUAUAAGGUUAAUAGUCUUUAAAUAAGUGUCUGCAAAGCACCAAUGCAAUUACAGAAUCGUACCAGAGGAACACUUACCACG